CUUACUUUUCACCACUUAUUUCAUCUUCGUGUUCUCAGCCCCACAAAGAACUUCCCUCUAACUUUAAAUUUAUUUGUGUGUUCAAGCAAAAAGUCAUGGGUAGCCAUUCACGCAGAAACCAACCCGGGGGUCGCCUCGACUUUCCAUGGUAUAAUUUCCCGUGGGUUUUUGGUCCAAAAGUACUUGUACAGUGGAAUGGGAAGCUAGAUUGGAUGAAACAGCGAAAGGUACAUGUACCUCUUGUUGUUGACUAGGGAUGGAUCGAGCAAGUUGGAUUGUUAGAAAGCAUUGAAUCGUUUUUGGUUAAGGCUUUUGAUGGGAUUCACCAGAGGUUUAUGUGUGUGGGAUGGAAGAGGUUGUUUGAGAUCCAAUAUGUUGUUUACAGGGAGUUGGUUAUCGAGUUCUUGGCGAUGGUUGCAUUUUGUAGGAAGAUCAGUGCGAUGGAGAAUAGGAAUAUUACAUUUUGUCUUGGAGGUGAAUGGAGAGAACUCAGCCUUGUCGAGCUCGCAAUUAGAACGGAGAUAUAUCUCCCAAACGAGGUGCAUACGGACUCUUACUUGGAGUUCAUUACGGGGAGCAUCAAAGUCACAAAAGCGUUCAAGGCUGAAACAUAUUGGCGAGACAUUGCUAAUGGAGCUUACCACAAAGGGACCGCCCAAGAAACUGAUAUUCAGUCUCCUAUCCACCGCCUCUUGCAUAGGUUAAUCACCAAUACUAUUAAUCAAAGGCAAGAGGGGGACACGGUCACGACAUUAGAUGUGUUUUUCCCAAGGUUGUAAAAUUCGCUCGACGGUCUACUGGUGUUAAUGGAUUAAUCGGUCUUAGCGGAGAUUAAUCGGGGACCAUAGAUUAUUAAUAAAAUUUUAAAAAUAAUCAAAUAUUAAUAUAUCUUAAGAAAAACAAGUACUUCAAAAUUAGAAAAUAAGAAAUUUUGAAAAUUUGAAAAUA